rfam:Medicago truncatula strain A17 chromosome 3, whole genome shotgun sequence.
UUGGAUUUGAAUUGAUUUUUGUUUGGAUAUACUUAUUCAAAAGUGAUUCUUAUGAGUUGAUGUUGUUUGGAUAG